rnacentral:rRNA from 1 species
CGAAAUGCGAUACCUAGUGUGAAUUGCAGAAUUCCGUGAAUCAUCGAGUUUUUGAACGCAAGUUGCGCCUGAGGCUCGUACCGAGGGCAUGCCUGUCUGAGCGUCCA